UGUAGUAUGGUUGUGUGUGGCCUUUUAGCUAUUUUCACAGCUAAGAUAGUUCUUGUCUUUUUGCGAGGAACACAGUUACUGCAUUUAAAAUAUUAAGUUCUGAGCUUUACCUUGCAAUAACUGUGCCAGCAACCCUGAGAGGUCAAUCACAGACAGAGCUUCACAGAUAAAGCUAAAGUUUCUCUCUCACUACCUCGAGACUUCCGGGAAUGAGCAGGGUGCAGUUGCCGAGCAACGGUACAGGCAGGCAACCAACUUGUACUACCGGCUCAUGAAGAGACUCCUCGACAUUGAGAGGGAAAGGUUGGCGCCUCUAAAGGACUUUAGCAGCCUUCUCAACAACGAUGUCUUUCAUCGCUCAUUGCUCGCGUGUUCAACAGAGAUUGUCCUUACUACAUACAAUGUAUCUUG